UUUAUUGAUUUUUUUUCUUACAGAAGUCUUUUGAUAGGUCCUGGUUAUUUUUCCUACAACUGGUCUAAGAACAUGCAAAGAGAUUAUCAAUCUCCAAAAGAUGGUCUCAGUACACUUUUCUGGAUCUUCAUGACAUUGCACACCGAAAUGUCAAUUCCUGCCUGAAACCAUAAAGAAAACCCAAAUCUGUGGGCAGCUUGUGAGAGUUGACAAUCUCACCAUUUCACGUUUAUGAAGAAGAGAGGCAUUAAUUUUGUGACCAGUGAUUCACAACAAGCUUUAUUCUCUUGAAAAUUACAUUAAAAACUGUGAUUAUGACCUCACAAAAAAUAAAAAAAAUGACUAAUCUUGAGUUAUUUCUAAGAGGAAAAACCCAAGUUUGUGUUUCUAAAGAAAAAGUGCAUUGGGAAAACAGGAAUAGAAGAGGAUGGCAAAAUGAAACUCCUGGGCUUCAUAAAUCUGUUUCUGUGUGUCACUACUUUAUUUGAAAUAUAUCAGGGAGA